rnacentral:tRNA from 1 species
GGAUUGUGGCUCAGUGGUAGAGCGCUCACCUAGCACAUGCAAGGCCCUGGGUUCCAUUCUCAGCACCA